AGCAUUGAUGGCAAGAAAAUAAUAUUCCCCAUAACAAGACGCGGCUUCUGUGGUCAACCUGUCUGCAAAUGCACCCUACAAAUUAAAACGCGCAUUUAAAUAAUUUACCCCAUAUUCAUACAACAAGUUUCAGCGAUCUUACUUGGUUUUUUGGACCUUUGCAUUUUCCCCUUCAGCCAUGGACGAAGACAAUCAAGUACCUGAAGACCUUUCCUUGGAAGAGAGAGAUGAGCUGUCAAACAUACGACGCAGGAAAAAAGAGCUACUGGAUGACAUUGAGCGGUUGAAGUUUGAGAUUGCAGAGGUGAUGCCUGAGAUCGAGCAGCUAACCUGCGUGGGGACAG